AUUGAACGCUGGCGGCAUGCCUUACACAUGCAAGUCGAACGGUAACAGGUCUUCGGAUGCUGACGAGUGGCGAACGGGUGAGUAAUACAUCGGAACGUGCCUAGUAGUGGGGGAUAACUACUCGAAAGAGUGGCUAAUACCGCAUGAGAUCUACGGAUGAAAGCAGGGGAUCGCAAGACCUUGUGCUACUAGAGCGGCCGAUGGCAGAUUAGGUAGUUGGUGGGAUAAAAGCUUACCAAGCCGACGAUCUGUAGCUGGUCUGAGAGGACGAUCAGCCACACUGGGACUGAGACACGGCCCAGACUCCUACGGGAGGCAGCAGUGGGGAAUUUUGGACAAUGGGCGCAAGCCUGAUCCAGCAGUGCCGCGUGCAGGAUGAAGGCCUUCGGGUUGUAAACUGCUUUUGUACGGAACGAAAAGCCCUGGGUUAAUACCCUGGGGUCAUGACGGUACCGUAAGAAUAAGCACCGGCUAACUACGUGCCAGCAGCCGCAGUAAUAC
rnacentral:rRNA from 1 species